GUUUGGUCCUGGCCUUGAAGUCAAUUCUUAUUUAAUAUACACAUGCAAGUCUCCGCACCCCUGUGAAAACGCCCUAAAUCCCCUCUUGGGAAUAGGAGCUGACAUCAGGCACAAUUUAUUGCCCAAAACGUCUAGCCUCGCCACACCCACAAGGGACCUCAGCAGUGAUAAACAUUGAGCAUAAGCGACAGCUUGACUCAGUUAAAUUUUUUAGAGCCGGCCAAUCUGGUGCCAGCCGCCGCGGUUACACCAGAAGCUCAAAUUGACCUCAUUCGGCGUAAAGCGUGAUUUAAGUAAUUACCCCAAUGGAAUUAAAUUUUAACUAAGCCGUGAUACGCUUGUUAUCUUAGAAACUCACUAACGAAAGUCAUUCCAUUUUUUCCCACUUGAACUCACGACAACUGAGAAACAAACUGGGAUUAGAUACCCCACUAUGCUCAGUCGUAAACUUUAAAUUACAACCCCAUCGCCCGGGAACUACGAGCUAUGCUUAAAACCCAAAGGACUUGACGGUACCCCAUAUCCACCUAGAGGAGCCUGUCCUAUAAUCGAUAACCCCCGUUCAACCUCACCAUCUCUAGCCUAUUCAGCCUGUAUACCUCCGUCGUCAGCUUACCACGUGAGUGUGUGAGCUCAAUGUUUUCUACUAAACGUCAGGUCAAGGUGCAACUUAUGAGAUGGGAAGAGAUGGGCUACACUCUCUAAUAUAGAAUACACGAAAAACUAUUUAUGAAAACUAGUCAGAAGGCGGAUUUAGCAGUAAACAGAAACCAGAGAGUUCUUUUGAAUUUGGCACUGGGGUGUGUACACACCGCCCGUCACCCUCCUCUACUGCUACAAAAUAGUUUUUAACCAAUUUUAGCCCUCCCAGAGGAGGCAAGUCGUAACAUGGUAAGUAUACCGGAAGGUGUGCUUGGACA
rnacentral:ncRNA from 1 species